rnacentral:rRNA from 1 species
UACGUAGGGUGCAAGCGUUAAUCGGAAUUACUGGGCGUAAAGCGUGAGCAGGCGGUUAUGCAAGAGAGAUGUUAAAUCCCCGGGCUCAACCUGGGAACUGCAUUUGUGACUGCAUAGCUGGAGUGCGGCAGAGGGGGAUGGAAUUCCGCGUGUAGCAGUGAAAUGCGUAGAUAUGCGGAGGAACACCGAUGGCGAAGGCAAUCCCCUGGGCCUGCACUGACGCUCAUGCACGAAAGCGUGGGGAGCAAACAGG